rnacentral:tRNA from 1 species
GCGGCUGUGAUCUAGUGGUCAUGAUUGGGGCCUUCCAAGCCUCCUACCCGGGUUCGAAUCCCGGCAGCCGCA